rnacentral:lncRNA from 1 species
GGACUGCUGCCCAGCCCCAACAGAAAGACCACCUAAGCUCCUCCCGCAGACAGGAGAGGGGCGUAAGGGGCCUCUGUCCCCUCCUAGGCAGCCGAGAGCCGCAGGUCCACUAGUUCCGCUCUCCUCCCCCGGGGGUCAAGGCUCCGUCACGCGAGUUUGAGCACUGAGCCUGAAACACACAAGAAGACUGGCUCUUGGGGUGAGGGUUCAAGAAGACCGAGGAAACCCGGAAACCCUGUACAGACCCUACCCCUCCCUAUUAAGGCACCAGGCCCUAAUAGAAAGCUCGGUCUCUCACCCGAUUCUCCGUUGCUUGCCCGCAAGGGGCAUGGGGGAGUGGG